rnacentral:rRNA from 1 species
UACAGAGGUGGCAAGCGUUGUUCGGAAUUACUGGGCGUAAAGCGUGCGCAGGCGGUCUUUUAAGUCAGAUGUGAAAUCCCCGGGCUUAACCUGGGAACUGCGUUUGAAACUGGAAGGCUUGAGUGUGGCAGAGGGGGGUGGAAUUCCACGUGUAGCAGUGAAAUGCGUAGAGAUGUGGAGGAACACCGAUGGCGAAGGCAGCCCCCUGGGCUAACACUGACGCUCAUGCACGAAAGCGUGGGGAGCAAACAGG